UCCCUACGGGGGGCAGCAGUAGGGAAUAUUGCUCAAUGGGGGAAACCCUGAAGCAGCAACGCCGCGUGGAGGAUGAAGGUUUUAGGAUUGUAAACUCCUUUUGUAAGAGAAGAUUAUGACGGUAUCUUACGAAUAAGCACCGGCUAACUCCGUGCCAGCAGCCGCGGUAAUACGGAGGGCGCAAGCGUUACUCGGAAUCACUGGGCGUAAAGGGUGCGCAGGCGGUUGAGUAAGACAGAUGUGAAAUCCCCGAGCUUAACUCGGGAAUGGCAUAUGUGACUGCUCG
rnacentral:rRNA from 1 species